UACAGAGGGUGCGAGCGUUGUCCGGAAUCACUGGGCGUAAAGGGCGCGUAGGUGGUGGCUUAAGCGUGCGGUGAAAGCUCGGGGCUCAACCCCGAGUCGGCCGUGCGAACUGGGCUCACUGGAGCAUAGUAGAGGCAGGUGGAAUUCCGGGUGUAGCGGUGGAAUGCGUAGAGAUCCGGAAGAACACCGGUGGCGAAGGCGGCCUGCUGGGCGUAUGGCUGACACUGAGGCGCGACAGCGUGGGGAGCAAACAGGAU
rnacentral:rRNA from 1 species